UACGUAGGGUGCAAGCGUUGUCCGGAAUUAUUGGGCGUAAAGAGCUCGUAGGCGGUUUGUCGCGUCGAAUGUGAAAACCCGGGGCUCAACUCCGGGCCUGCAUUCGAUACGGGCAGACUAGAGUUCGGUAGGGGAGUCUGGAAUUCCUGGUGUAGCGGUGAAAUGCGCAGAUAUCAGGAGGAACGCCUGCGGCGAAGGCGGGUUGCUGGGCUGACACUGACGCUGAUGCGCGAAAGCCAGGGGAGCGAACGGG
rnacentral:rRNA from 1 species